CAAUAGCGUAUAUUAAAGUUGUUGCAGUUAAAAAGCUCGUAGUUGGAUUUCUGGUGGGAGCGAUCGGUCUGGCGCUUAGCGCGAGUACUUGCAUCGUCUCCGGCCAUCCUUGGGGAGAGUCUGUCUGGCAUUAGAUUGUCGGGCAGAGGAUCCUCAUCGUUUACUGUGAAAAAAUUAGAGUGUUCAAAGCAGGCUUAUGCCGUUGAAUAUAUUAGCAUGGAAUAAUAAGAUAGGACUUUGGUACUAUUUUGUUGGUUUGCGCACCAAAGUAAUGAUUAAUAGGGACAGUUGGGGGUAUUCGUAUUCCGUUGUCAGAGGUGAAAUUCUUGGAUUUACGGAAGACGAACUACUGCGAAAGCAUUUACCAAGGAUGUUUUCAUUAA
rnacentral:rRNA from 1 species